GGUGGACGGUGAAAUUGUGCAAUGUGUUAUGAUAUUCUCGUCCUCAAGCGAAGUGUUUGGCGUUAGGCAGUGUGUCGUUGACCCUGGUGAGUUUGAGAGGAAAUGCAUUGAAGGGAAUUAUUUCGAAUUAUUUUUGAGAUCUCAUGGGGUUGUGGUAAUUUAUUGGAAUUUGCACAAGUGUUGAUUCAUGUAUCUUUGAGCGGGCUUGCCACGAACACUCCAUAUAUCAUCUGGUUAGCAUAUCUCGGUCAUGAAGCUAUGGGUUGGGCUUACUUCUUUUACAUAAUUGUGUCUCGGCUGCAUGUCUAUAGGUCGAUUGACAUAGUCGUAUCUCGGCCAAGUGAUUUUAGGUUGAUUGACAUAUUGUAUCACAACCAAAUGACCUUAGGUCGGUUAGGAGAUAAAUGUCAUAACUCAGCGGUUGUGCGGGUCUCUGAAACGGCCCGUAUAAAAAAAAAGGUGACAAAAAAAAAGUAAUGAAAAAAAAAUAUAUAUGUAGAUAUAAAGGGGAAAAAAAAAACAAAACUAACCUACCAGGCAUUUUAAAGCCAACGCAGCCCCCACCCCACCCCAUUCUAAAACCAAAACCCACGACCCAUCUCAUUUUCUCUCCCUCGUUUUGCCUCUGUGACAACGCCCCUCAUCUAUCCUCUUCUUCAAUCUUCUUUCCUUCACUAGAAUUACACCAAAUUCAAUCAUGGGAAUACACAAUCAUGAAAGGGAAAUUCGGAAUUUGAGUUGAAGGUUCUUGACAUAACUUUUGGAUUAAUGAUGUAUGUUUUGAGGAAGGAGAAGAGUAUCCACUCUACAAAAAUUGCUCUUUGAAUGCUAUUGAGAUUUAUCGGUUAGUGGUUCGUUCGGUUGGCGUGGAGCUGUUGAGAGCGGUUCAGUUGAUUCGUCUUAGUUAUUUUCAGGCAAUUGAGUAGCAGAUUAUUGUCAGUUUAAGAUCAUUCGGCUUAUUUCAUUUGGCAGGUCGUCACAUUGGUGUCUUUUAUUUAAUCUUGGUUAUCUGCAGCUAUAGGGAGUCCUAGGUGGAUUUAGAUUUGGAGUUGUUAUUUGUUAUUUUUAUUUUCAAGAGUUGGCACUUGAGUGCUCGAGUUGAUUUUAUAUUUUACUUGAAAUACUGGCUAUGGAAGAGCUUAUUGGCAGAUGUUAUUUGUAGUUAUUGAAAUUUACAAAAGAGAUAUUGCUGAAUUAUUAUAAAAUAUAGAGAACUUGUAUAAUUUUUGGAAAAUAGUUGGAAAACGAUUUUGUGAGAUUGAGGCUUGCCAGACUAAGGUGUUAGUCUGUGCGUCGGUCACGACUUAGGAUUUUGGGUCAUGACAGUCUCCCUCGGUGGAGGUCGUAACUCGACCACUUUCUGUGGUGUUGAGGUAUGUUUUGUUGAGAUACGUGUUGAACCAAACACUAAAACUUGUCAUCACUCAGCCACAAUGUGUUUUCAUAAGCCACACACUAUAACAAGACUGAAACAUAUUAAUUGUGGUGCUAAAUUGAUGUUCAACUUAUAUUUUAAAAUGUAAGAAGUGGUUAAAAGAUUGAUAUGUAAUUUGAAUUAAGAAUAAGGUACGGGUCGAUACGAACAACGCCUGAUAUUCAUCGUUUAUGGCUAGGGCUACCGGAGUAUUUGACCCCAUUCGUUUCCCUAGCUUUCAUCUCUUAGUUUCAGUGUCAGCCUAGCACCCCGCCCCCGCAUCCUUUCCAUGUUCCUGUCCCCCUCUCCAUCCCCGCAGCGGGUUGAAUUGUCGUCCCAUCCCCUAUUGCCACCUCCCGACGGGUCUCCACAGUCACCACUAAUACACCAUUACAAAAAAAAAAUUAAAUUGAAUAUAAAAAGUACAUAAAUUUCUACCUGGACCACAAAUAAUUUAAUAUAUAUAUAUAUAUGGG